GCGUAGGAUGCAACCCAAGAAUGUAAUGUUAUAGGAUAGUUUCUUUUCGUUUGUAAUUUUUAGAAAAAAAAGAAAAGUGAAAACACAAAUAAAUAAGUCGUGCCACGACAAAAAAUAAGGCACUUGGUGUGAGGCAACCCACUUUUACUUACAUAAUUUUCUUAUUUUUAUUUGAUUUGUAGGGAUGAGAAAAUUGAAACCAAGGAGAACAUCAUGUCUAAUGAAGCAAUCAGAUUUGCCUAAAGUUAAUGUGUGUAAGUCAGGUACAAAAAACAAAUCAGGUAAAAAGGUUGAAAAAUAAACUGGGAACGUGAAAUGAGAGGCCAAUGUAUUGCGCUGGCUAGACAAAUGACAGUUUUCAAAUUCCAGUGGCUUGGUGCGAUCCCACCGCAUUGCGGAGCCUAGCAAAAUGACAAUUGUCAUUUUCUAGUGGCCUGGCGCGAUUACUCCGCAUCGGGUUGGGGUAAAAAUCGGACUAAAUAUUUUAGGUGAACCCUAUCCGAUCCGGUUUAUCCCCUUCACUUUAUAUAUAUCCCCCUUAAACCUAAUUCCCUUAUUCUCUCUUCUUAGCUCCGCCCUAAGAUCCUUAACCCCAAAAAUUUUCUCGUCACUCUUCUUAAAUGAAUGAUCAAGGUCCGUCUUGUUCUUUUUUAAUUCAUCUCCAAAAAGGUACCAUGGAUCCCCAACAACAGAAAGGAAAGGCCAAGGCUGGUCCCUCUGCACCAGUUAGGAAAAAAAGUAGGCCAUCUAAAAUUCAACUUGCGAGGCUGACCCAUGCUCCACCAUUACAACAUGGGAAAAUGAUAAAGUUUAGAUUCAAGGCAGUCUGGAAAGUAGGCAAACAGGGGUACUCAAAACAUACUGAAGCCCAAUACAUCCUGAAGGUUUUCAUUAAUAGGACAAGCCUGCUAAGGGACUGCCUAAGUAUGGUGCGAUGAAUUGGGCAGCUGAAUAUGAACUUUAUCUUCCACUAGCCUACUGAGUGUAAUUUGCAUUUAGUACACAAGUUUUAUACUAAUUGGGGUCUAAGUGACCCCGAUCAUGAAUUGAAGAUUUGAGGUAAGAAGGUUCGAUUCACAGUUGCGGAAAUUAAUGAGUUGCUGGGAAUACCUGAGCCGAAUGCAAACCACUUAAAGUAGUUUAUUGUCACUCCUCCUUAUGCUCACAUUAGAUAUUUGUUGUAUGGUACGUGCUCAUCUGCGAGGUAGACCAGGCACCAGGUCACCUACUUGAACUUAUCUUUACCCUAUGCAUAGAUGAAUAAAGAAGCUCAUAUGUGGGGAUGCAUUUUGUAUCAUUACCUUGUCCAAGGAAAACAUAUGACAGGUUACACGUGAUUGGGUAAGUUUGAUUUAUGCUCUAAUGUGUAAUGAUAUUGAGAUUAAUGUGGGCCAGGUUAUUUUCUCUGCAAUGAAGAAGGCAUGCUACCAGUCGGGGCAUAGAUAUGGUUUUAGAGGACUGCUGACUUAGUUAUUGAGGAGGCAUAGGGUGGAUGAGGAGGAGCUAGAUUACAAGCCAGAUAUUGUCACUCAGCCGAUUGAUAUCACGAUUGGUAGGAGCAUCACUGGAGCCCAAGGCCCAAUUCUAACCAUGGAUGAAUAUCAAGCUUGGACUGAUGAGAUAUCUGCCCGUAUGUUUGGUCUACAGAUAUUGCAGCUGCGAUAGGGAUAAGAUUUGCAAUGAAAGAAGAAUUUCAUAUGGUGGAGUUAGAUUACGCCCUGGGCCACAUACCAGAACAUUGCUGCAGAUCGGGCCUGAGUUCAUAGAACCUACUAAUGAUAACGUGCCUACUGAUGCUGAGACACAAUACCAGGAUUAAAAUGAAGAGUUGGACACUGAGGAUCAAUCUGAUGAGGGUGAGGGCGAUGCAGAAGAUGACGACGUUUAUGAGGAGGAUGGUGCAGAUGAGGAAAUGAAGACGAUUGUGCCCUUUGACUGAGCAGGGAGUAUGAUGCCACCUUUUCUUAUGCUUAUUUUUAGCACUGUGAUAGUGCUGCGUCUAAGUGUGGGGUAGUUGUCUUUUACGUCUCUGAUUUCUAUCUUAGUUCAUUUUGGUUGGACAAUUUAUGUUUAUUUCGGUUAGACAAUUUUUAUUUCUUUUUUGUUUUGUUGGAUUGUAAUUGUUAGUAAAUUUAAGGAUGGGUUUGCACAAUUUUCACUAAAGGCAUUUUUUGCAUGUUGCUAUUAGUUUAAAGUGGUUGUUUUGUUUAUUUUCAA